UACGUAGGUGUCGAGCGUUGUCCGGAUUUAUUGGGCGUAAAGAGCCCGCAGGCGGCUUGGCAAGUUUGGGGUGAAAUCUCCCGGCUCAACUGGGAGGGUGCCCUGAAAACUGUCAGGCUUGAGUCAUGGAGAGGGAUGUGGAAUUCCAGGUGUAGUGGUGAAAUGCGUAGAUAUCGGGAGGAACACCUGUGGCGAAAGCGGCUCUCUGGACCACAACUGACGCUGAGGCGCGAAAGCUAGGGGAGCAAACAGG
rnacentral:rRNA from 1 species